UACAGAGGUCCCAAGCGUUGUUCGGAUUCACUGGGCGUAAAGGGUGCGUAGGUGGCCAGGUAAGUUUGGUGUGAAAGCUCGGAGCUUAACUCCGAAAUGGCAUUGAAUACUAUCUGGCUGGAGGGUCGGAGGGGAGACUGGAAUUCUCGGUGUAGCAGUGAAAUGCGUAGAUAUCAAGUGGAACACCAGUGGCGAAGGCGAGUCUCCGGGCCGAUACUGACGCUGAGGAGCGAAAGCGUGGGGAGCGAACAGG
rnacentral:rRNA from 1 species